rnacentral:tRNA from 1 species
GCGACUGUGGCGAAGUGGUGAACGCACCGGAUUGUGGCUCCGGCACUCGUGGGUUCGAUCCCCAUCAGUCGCC